GUGCUCACUUCAGCAGCACAGAUGCUAAAAUUAGAAUGAUAUAGAAAUAGCAUGACCCCUGCACAAGGAUGACAUGCAAGUUCAUGAAGUGUUCCAUAUUUUU
rnacentral:snRNA from 1 species